GCCCGCUUAGCUCAGUGGUAGAGCGCAUCACUAGUAUAUCUUCUGAUACAUCAUUAAGACAUGAUGAGGUCAUCAGUCCCACUCUGGGAGUGGGCU